UGAUGCAGGGUCAAAAGCCUGAACCCACGAUGUGCUUGCACAUAAGUGGGUUUAUGGCUUAGUGACCCGCCCGAUAUGAGCAUAAAAGUGGAGCGUAAGCUUCAUGAUACGCGGAUAUUGGGGUGAAUUGCAGGAACACGAAGUACGGAACAAUUCGUAUGGCAUCU
rnacentral:sRNA from 1 species